rnacentral:rRNA from 1 species
AUUGAACGCUGGCGGAAUGCUUUACACAUGCAAGUCGGGCGGCAGCGCGGGGGCGAACCCUCGGCGGCGAGCGGCGAACGGGUGAGUAAUACAUCGGAACGUGUCCUUGAGUGGGGGAGUAGCUCGGCGGAAAGACCGGAUUAAUACCGCAUAAGCUCUGAGGAGGAAAGACGGGGGACGUGGUAACGGCCUCGCGCUGUUGGAGCGGCCGAUGUCGGAUUAGCUAGUUGGUGGGGUAAAGGCCCACCAAGGCGACGAUCCGUAGCUGGUCUGAGAGGAUGAUCAGCCACACUGGAACUGAGACACGGUCCAGACUCCUACGGGAGGCAGCAGUGGGGAA